rnacentral:rRNA from 1 species
CAAUAGCGUAUAUUAAAGUUGUUGCGGUUAAAAAGCUCGUAGUUGGAUUUCUGCUGAGAACGACCGGUCCGCCCUUUGGGUGUGUAUCUGGCUCUUUCUUGGCAUCUUCUUGGUGAACGUUGCUGCACUUGACUGUGUGGAGCGCUACCCAGGACUUUUACUUUGAGGAAAUUAGAGUGUUUCAAGCAGGCAUACGCCUUGAAUACAUUAGCAUGGAAUAAUAAGAUAGGACCUCGGUUCUAUUUUGUUGGUUUCUAGAGCUGAGGUAAUGAUUAAUAGGGAUAGUUGGGGGCAUUCGUAUUUAACUGUCAGAGGUGAACUUCUUGGAUUUGUUAAAGACGGACUACUGCGAAAGCAUUUGCCAAGGAUGUUUUCAUUGA